rnacentral:ncRNA from 2 species
GGAAAGCCGGUGCGAAUCCGGCGCUGACCCCGCAACCGUGAGCCCGGCGCCCGUCCGCCGGCGAGCCGGAGCACC